AAUAAAGUGCCUGAUAAAAGGAUUAUUCUGAUAGAAUAAAUUAUAUAUUCUUAAAAAUAUCUUUAUUU
rnacentral:tRNA from 1 species